rnacentral:rRNA from 1 species
GGCAGACGGGUGAGUAAUGCAUAGGAAUCUACCUAGUAGUAUGGGAUAGCCACUAGAAAUGGUGGGUAAUACUGUAUAAUCCCUGCGGGGGAAAGAUUUAUCGCUAUUAGAUGAGCCUAUGUUAGAUUAGCUAGUUGGUAGGGUAAAGGCCUACCAAGGCAGUGAUCUAUAGCUGGUCUGAGAGGAUGAUCAGCCACACUGGAACUGAGAUACGGUCCAGACUCCUACGGGAGGCAGCAGUGGGGAAUAUUGGACAAUGGGCGCAAGCCUGAUCCAGCUAUGCCGCGUGAGUGAGGAAGGCCUUAGGGUUGUAAAACUCUUUCAGUGGGGAAGAUAAUGACGGUACCCACAGAAGAAGUCCCGGCAAACUCCGUGCCAGCAGCCGCGGUAAUACGGAGGGGGCAAGCGUUGUUCGGAAUUAUUGGGCGUAAAGGGCAUGUAGGCGGUUCGGUAAGUUAAAGGUGAAAUGCCAGGGCUUAACCCUGGAGCUGCUUUUAAUACUGCC